CCUACGGGAGGCAGCAGUGGGGAAUUUUGGGCAAUGGGCGCAAGCCUGAUCCAGCAAUGCCGCGUGAGUGAAGAAGGCCUUCGGGUUGUAAAGCUCUUUUGUCAGGGAAGAAACGGUCUACUCUAAUACAGUGGGCUAAUGACGGUACCUGAAGAAUAAGCACCGGCUAACUACGUGCCAGCAGCCGCGGUAAUACGUAGGGUGCAAGCGUUAAUCGGAAUUACUGGGCGUAAAGCGUGCGCAGGCGGUUAUAUAAGUCAGAUGUGAAAUCCCCGGGCUCAACCUGGGAACUGCAUUUGAGACUGUAUGGCUAGAGUGUGUCAGAGGGGGGUAGAAUUCCACGUGUAGCAGUGAAAUGCGUAGAUAUGUGGAGGAAUACCGAUGGCGAAGGCAGCCCCCUGGGAUAACACUGACGCUCAUGCACGAAAGCGUGGGGAGCAAACAGGAUUAGAUACCCUGGUAGUCCACGCCCUAAACCGAUGUCUACUAGUUGUCGGGACUUAAUUGUCUUGGUAACGCAGCUAACGCGUGAAGUAGACCGCCUGGGGAGUCGGUCGCAAGAUUAAAACUUAAAUGAAUUGACGGCUGAGAGAGACGAGACGACGACGAGGGAGGAGG
rnacentral:rRNA from 1 species